UUGAUUGAUCUAUCAUUAAAUUGCUCUAAUAGUAUGGUUGUAAGUAACUACUUCCUCACUGAAACAUCACUUGACUGCAACAGCAGUCAAAUUAAACAAUACGCAACCCUUAUUCACCUUAGAGAUAGGAAGGUGCUUUAUUAAUUGCAGAUGGUCAAUUUGAAGUAGGGAAAAGGGUCGUAGACACGAUAAUAAAUAAUUAUAAAUGAUAAUAACUGGAACACAGUGUGAGGGAGUGUAAAGAGUGACGGUGUUGAGAUCCCAGUGGAGGUGGAGCUGGAGGUGUCCUCCUCUCUGUAGAGUGUGACGGUGUUGUGCUCCCAGUGGAGGUGGAGGUGGAGGUGGAGCUGUCCUCCUCUCUGUAGAGUGACGGUGUUGUGCUCCCAGUGGAGGUGGAGGUGAAGGUGGAGGUGGAGGUGGAGGUGGAGGUGGAGCUGUCCUCCUCUCUGUAGAGUGUGACGGUGUUGUGCUCCCCAGUGGAGGUGGAGGUGGAGGUGGAGCUGUCCUCCUCCUGUCUGUAGAGUGACG
ensembl:lncRNA